rnacentral:rRNA from 1 species
CUGGCGGCAGGCCUAACACAUGCAAGUCGAACGGUAGCACAGAGAGCUUGCUCUCGGGUGACGAGUGGCGGACGGGUGAGUAAUGUCUGGGAAACUGCCUGAUGGAGGGGGAUAACUACUGGAAACGGUAGCUAAUACCGCAUAAUGUCGCAAGACCAAAGAGGGGGACCUUCGGGCCUCUUGCCAUCAGAUGUGCCCAGAUGGGAUUAGCUAGUAGGUGGGGUAACGGCUCACCUAGGCGACGAUCCCUAGCUGGUCUGAGAGGAUGACCAGCCACACUGGAACUGAGACACGGUCCAGACUCCUACGGGAGGCAGCAGUGGGGAAUAUUGCACAAUGGGCGCAAGCCUGAUCAGCCAUGCCGCGUGUAUGAAGAAGGCCUUCGGGUUGUAAAGUACUUUCAGCGGGGAGGAAGGUGUUGUGGUUAAUAACCGCAGCAAUUGACGUUACCCGCAGAAGAAGCACCGGCUAACUCCGUGCCAGCAGCCGCGGUAAUACGGAGGGUGCAAGCGUUAAUCGGAAUUACUGGGCGUAAAGCGCACGCAGGCGGUCUGUCAAGUCGGAUGUGAAAUCCCCGGGCUCAACCUGGGAACUGCAUUCGAAACUGGCAGGCUGGAGUCUUGUAGAGGGGGGUAGAAUUCCAGGUGUAGCGGUGAAAUGCGUAGAGAUCUGGAGGAAUACCGGUGGCGAAGGCGGCCCCCUGGACAAAGACUGACGCUCAGGUGCGAAAGCGUGGGGAGCAAACAGGAUUAGAUACCCUGGUAGUCCACGCCGUAAACGAUUUCGAUUUUGGGAGGUUGUGCCCUUGAGGCGUGGCUUCCGGAGGCUAACGCGUUAAAUCGACCGCCUGGGGAGUACGGCCGCAAGGUUAAAACUCAAAUGAAUUGACGGGGGCCCGCACAAGCGGUGGAGCAUGUGGUUUAAUUCGAUGCAACGCGAAGAACCUUACCUGGUCUUGACAUCCACAGAACUUUCCAGAGAUGGAUUGGUGCCUUCGGGAACUGUGAGACAGGUGCUGCAUGGCUGUCGUCAGCUCGUGUUGUGAAAUGUUGGGUUAAGUCCCGCAACGAGCGCAACCCUUAUCCUUUGUUGCCAGCGGUCCGGCCGGGAACGCAAAGGAGACUGCCAGUGAUCCACUGGAGGAAGGUGGGGAUGACGUCAAGUCAUCAUGGCCCUUACGACCAGGGCUACACACGUGCUACAAUGGCGCAUACAAAGAGAAGCGACCUCGCGAGAGCAAGCGGACCUCAUAAAGUGCGUCGUAGUCCGGAUUGGAGUCUGCAACUCGACUCCAUGAAGUCGGAAUCGCUAGUAAUCGUAGAUCAGAAUGCUACGGUGAAUACGUUCCCGGGCCUUGUACACACCGCCCGUCACACCAUGGGAGUGGGUUCACAAAAGAAGUAGGUAGCUUAACCUUCGGGAGGGCGCUUACCACUUUGUGAUUCAUGACUGGGGUGAAGUCGUAACAAGGUAACCGUA